CAUAGGUUAAUGAGGCGAACCGGGGGAACUGAAACAUCUAAGUACCCCGAGGAAAAGAAAUCAACCGAGAUUCCCCCAGUAGCGGCGAGCGAACGGGGAGGAGCCCAGAGCCUGAAUCAGUGUGUGUGUUAGUGGAAGCGUCUGGAAAGGCGCGCGAUACAGGGUGACAGCCCCGUACACAAAAAUGCACAUGCUGUGAGCUCGAUGAGUAGGGCGGGACACGUGGUAUCCUGUCUGAAUAUGGGGGGACCAUCCUCCAAGGCUAAAUACUCCUGACUGACCGAUAGUGAACCAGUACCGUGAGGGAAAGGCGAAAAGAACCCCGGCGAGGGGAGUGAAAAAGAACCUGAAACCGUGUACGUACAAGCAGUGGGAGCCUCUUAAUGGGGUGACUGCGUACCUUUUGUAUAAUGGGUCAGCGACUUAUAUUCUGUAGCAAGGUUAACCGAAUAGGGGAGCCGAAGGGAAACCGAGUCUUAACUGGGCGUUAAGUUGCAGGGUAUAGACCCGAAACCCGGUGAUCUAGCCAUGGGCAGGUUGAAGGUUGGGUAACACUAACUGGAGGACCGAACCGACUAAUGUUGAAAAAUUAGCGGAUGACUUGUGGCUGGGGGUGAAAGGCCAAUCAAACCGGGAGAUAGCUGGUUCUCCCCGAAAGCUAUUUAGGUAGCGCCUCGUGAAUUCAUCUCCGGGGGUAGAGCACUGUUUCGGCAAGGGGGUCAUCCCGACUUACCAACCCGAUGCAAACUGCGAAUACCGGAGAAUGUUAUCACGGGAGACACACGGCGGGUGCUAACGUCCGUCGUGAAGAGGGAAACAACCCAGACCGCCAGCUAAGGUCCCAAAGUCAUGGUUAAGUGGGAAACGAUGUGGGAAGGCCCAGACAGCCAGGAUGUUGGCUUAGAAGCAGCCAUCAUUUAAAGAAAGCGUAAUAGCUCACUGGUCGAGUCGGCCUGCGCGGAAGAUGUAACGGGGCUAAACCAUGCACCGAAGCUGCGGCAGCGACACUAUGUGUUGUUGGGUAGGGGAGCGUUCUGUAAGCCUGUGAAGGUGGCCUGUGAGGGUUGCUGGAGGUAUCAGAAGUGCGAAUGCUGACAUAAGUAACGAUAAAGCGGGUGAAAAGCCCGCUCGCCGGAAGACCAAGGGUUCCUGUCCAACGUUAAUCGGGGCAGGGUGAGUCGACCCCUAAGGCGAGGCCGAAAGGCGUAGUCGAUGGGAAACAGGUUAAUAUUCCUGUACUUGGUGUUACUGCGAAGGGGGGACGGAGAAGGCUAUGUUGGCCGGGCGACGGUUGUCCCGGUUUAAGCGUGUAGGCUGGUUUUCCAGGCAAAUCCGGAAAACCAAGG
rnacentral:rRNA from 1 species